rnacentral:rRNA from 1 species
UACGUAGGGACCAAGCGUUGUUCGGAUUUACUGGGCGUAAAGGGCGCGUAGGCGGCGUGGUAAGUCACUUGUGAAAUCUCUGAGCUUAACUCAGAACGGCCAAGUGAUACUGCUGUGCUAGAGUGCAGAAGGGGCAAUCGGAAUUCUUGGUGUAGCGGUGAAAUGCGUAGAUAUCAAGAGGAACACCUGAAGUGAAGACGGGUUGCUGGGCUGACACUGACGCUGAUGCGCGAAAGCCAGGGGAGCAAACGGG